rnacentral:lncRNA from 1 species
CGAUACUUAAACUUGAUCUGUAACUCAGCAUGAGUGAGUCACAUACAUAAAAUCAGCAUAAUAUCUGAAAGCGUUAAGAAAAAAAAUCCAUAUAACUGCGAUUUUCAACAAUUUAUCAAAGUCCAUAGCCCGUUAUUUUGGCAAAAAUUACCCGAGCGAAACAAAACUUAAGCUUGAUAUGUAACUCAUCUUGGUUAGGUAGCACUCCACAGUUAGAAAAUAGAAUUAAAAAUGCGC